AUAUGUUGUGGCAACAUCUCUGCUUGAGGCCAGUAAUUUAUUGGUUCUCAAGGAGUCAUCUUCUAUACAUUCGAAUGCAAAUUUAGGUGUUCAUGGACAAGGAUACUUGAAUCUUACUGGACCAGGAAAUCUUAUUGAAGCACAACGUCUUAUACUAUCAUUGUUUUUCAGUAUCUAUGUUGGGCCUAAGUCAUUCCUCCGAGGACCUUUGGACGAUUCAAAAGCCAAUAAGACGAGACCACGACUCUACUGUGAACUUUCUGAUUGUCCAGCGGAACUACUUCACCCCCCUGAAGAUUGUAACGUGAAUUCCACAUUGCCCUUCACUCUUCAGAUUUGUCGAGUUGAAGAUCUAACAGUUGAAGGCACCAUAACUGGAUCUGUUAUUCACUUUCACUGA